rnacentral:rRNA from 1 species
UGGGGAAUUUUGGACAAUGGGGGAAACGCUGAUCCAGCCAUCCCGCGUGUGCGAUGAAGGCCUUCGGGUUGUAAAGCACUUUUGGCAGGAAAGAAACGUCAUGGGUUAAUACCCCGUGAAACUGACGGUACCUGCAGAAUAAGCACCGGCUAACUACGUGCCAGCAGCCGCGGUAAUACGUAGGGUGCAAGCGUUAAUCGGAAUUACUGGGCGUAAAGCGUGCGCAGGCGGUUCGGAAAGAAAGAUGUGAAAUCCCAGAGCUCAACUUUGGAACUGCAUUUUUAACUACCGGGCUAGAGUGUGUCAGAGGGAGGGGGAAUUCCGCGUGUAGCAGUGAAAUGCGUAGAUAUGCGGAGGAACACCGAUGGCGAAGGCAGCCUCCUGGGAUAACACUGACGCUCAUGCACGAAAGCGUGGGGAGCAAACAGG